rnacentral:tRNA from 1 species
GGGGUUGUGGCUCAGCAGUAGAGCACUCGCCUAGCACGUGUGAGGCCCUGGGUUCGAUCCUCAGUACCA